rnacentral:rRNA from 1 species
UGGGGAAUAUUGGACAAUGGGGGGAACCCUGAUCCAGCCAUGCCGCGUGUGUGAAGAAGGCCUUAUGGUUGUAAAGCACUUUAAGCGAGGAGGAGGGUACUGGUAUUAAUACUACCAGCUACUGGACGUUACUCGCAGAAUAAGCACCGGCUAACUCUGUGCCAGCAGCCGCGGUAAUACAGAGGGUGCGAGCGUUAAUCGGAUUUACUGGGCGUAAAGCGUGCGUAGGCGGCUAAUUGAGUCGGAUGUGAAAUCCCCGAGCUUAACUUGGGAAUUGCAGUCGAUACUGGUUAGCUAGAGUGUGGGAGAGGAUGGUAGAAUUCCGGGUGUAGCGGUGAAAUGCGUAGAGAUCUGGAGGAAUACCGAUGGCGAAGGCAGCCAUCUGGCCUAACACUGACGCUGAGGUACGAAAGCAUGGGGAGCAAACAGG